CUCCCUGUCGCGGCUGCGUUUCCUCCGCCAUGUCGGUUGUUUUUAAAGCCCCGGAGUCCGGGGCUGACAAGAGGAGAGUGGCGGGGGAAGGCGGUUCCAGGGCCGCGGGACUCGCCCUCUCCGCCCCACACACAGCAAUGGCUCCCUCCCCUGCUAGGCAAAACACACCCUGCAUCAGCCCUCCUCACCUGGUGUGGGGCGGGAAGGGGCUGGUUAGUGAAGGGGGAGACGGGGAGCGACGGCCGGAGGGGCCGUGAGGUGCGGGGGGGAGAUGAUGGCGCCUGAGGGGCCGGGGCCGCCGCAUGGGGCUCCCGCCGCUCGGCCCCGGCGGGGUUGCUGUGGAGCCGGGGCUGAACCGUGCGGGUCUGUCACAGGGGCGUCCGAGGUGGAUCAUUUCUAAAGCGGGUGAAGGCGUUUUGGGAGAGGGGGGCAGGAUGGUCCUUAGGGCGCUGAGGAAAACGCGGUGCUGCGAUGUGCUGCGGUUUGUAGUGUAGCGGUGUCUGCGAAAAACAUCUGUCAAGGCUUGAUUUAAAGGAUCCUGCCUAAACAAAAGCAUGCUUCCUCAGCAGCAGGAGUGGAUAAGAAAGAUUCUGGAAAAUCUCCAGGGGAGAGAUGGGAAAGUUUUUGUAACCUGCUGCUGAAAGGAAGUGGUGGAAACAUUCUGAGGUCUUGGAGGAACCUGGGAUUCUCAGCCCUGUCACAGAGGGUCAAAAUCUAAGAAGUUGCUCCCAGGAACAGCUGCCCACAUUUCCUGGCAUCCUCUGACGCAAGCAAGCUGGACAUCCACUGAUGCAAACAUGGCCAUCCGCUUCUGCCAGCGCAGACAGGAUGCAGGGCAGACAAGCUGUGUAUCUUUACGCAGAAGGAAAGAGAGGAAAGUGAGAAACAUAAAGGACUGCUGCCUCAGAGCUGCUGUUGCCAUAGAGCUGCUAACGAGGGAAAAAACUGCAGCAUGGAUUUCUUGUGCUGGUGAAGAUAUGAAGAAGGUCACCCCUCGCACUGAGGAUCUGCUGCAACUCCAGUCUGCCAAGACCAGCUGUGGAACAGAAGCUCAAAGAACAGACAGAUGGAGCUGCUUCUAGUGCCCGUGGAGAUGGGUGCCUGAAACUGGGUGUGCCAAAAUGUUGACCUGGUGUGUGGGCCACAGGAGGUGUUCUUAGGUAGAUUCUUCAUCUCCUGGUGGCCCCAAGAGUCUCAGGUGGGACAGCUUCACCACUGGACCUCGUGGCUCCAUUGGUGGAGUCAUUAGCUGGGAUUCACGCCCAGAAAGAGACCAAAGAAUUCAUCAUUACAAAAUCUGCAUAAGCUUAUGGCGGCCAGAGCAGCUAAGAAAGAUCACUGGAAAAUGGCUAAUGUAUGUACGCUGCCGCUGUACACACAGCGGUGUCUCCAGAGAGGUGCUGGAGAGUACACGAGUUGCUGACAGAGAAAAGCAAGAGAAGAGAAGGGAUGGAUCUGUCAGGAAGAGAUGCAGUCAUGGCUCUGGCUUUCUAUGAUAAAGGAGCAUGUGGUGCUCAGAGAUCUGGUUGUGGACAGGCCAUAUUCUCCUGAUUUCUCUCCAACUUGCUCCUGGAGGCCUUUCUGCUGUGGUUGAUGUGAACAAGCCUGGUUCUUUAUAUCACCUCCAUGCAAUUUGGAUCUACUAGAUUGCACAUCAGGUUAGAAACAGGAGUAUUUCAUUGUUGGGAAAACAGUGAUCUGGGACUUUUCAGAUGCCAAAAGUCCCUGAUCUCUUUUGUAUGGAUAAUUUCAAUGUUUAUAUAUAUGCAAAUGAUAACAUUGGGGUUGGAGAAAUGGUGGGUUCCUGGGCUGCGAUACGAGGGGUUUGCUGCGAGGUGGGGGCUUCUGAAAUGGCAGAGGCUUGGGGUCAUAGUCUGAAGAAGGUGGAAGCUCUGUCUUGAAGACUGUUGUCACAGUCUGGAGGAGAAAAAUCGUACUGAAUUUGAGCUGUGGGACAGAAGAGGGAAAAAUCUGCCUCACAAGGUGUUGAAGCAAUUUAUUUUGGGGACCUGAAGGAUUGAAGUAACUUAUUUCACAUGACUGUCACUCCCCCAUCCCAUGCACAUGACCACAUGCAACAGCCAAUUUUGCUGAUGGAAACGUGGGAGCUCUGUCUUCUGCCCCACCUGUAUCUCAUACUUGUCCAUACAGUAUCAUAUACCCUAUGGCAUCAUAUAAUUAAAACAGAUGAUUAUGCAGAUGCAAAUGGAUCCCUAAGGAAACUUAGCACAUGGGCAUAACACCACAGGCAAGUUUUAACUGAUUAUGCAGCAAUAAAGAAGUUUCUUCUUUUUAAAAUUAAUAACAACUUGACUUGUUUUUCUUCUUUUUCAACACAGCUUAACAUCUUCCUCUCCAAGUAAAAUCUGAAAUAAAGGGAGGGAUCUCAGGCCAAACACAGAGUACCUUAUGGAAGUGCAGGCUGUAGCUCUCUGGGUUUAGAAACCUCUGAAGAGCACAAAAUCUUUCUUCCCGUUUGCAGCACCCUUCCCCCUGCCUGCAGAGUGCAAACCCUGUGUGCAUUUGGCUUCCAGAUCUGUGGCUCCCACCCUCCUUUUUAUAAGCUGUGAAUUUUCUCCCUUCCAAAGCACACAUUUUACCCCCCCUCCCAUGCCCCUAGGAAAGGUUUUGCCCUGCAAGUGCCCUGGAUUUUUAAAUAAUGUGGAAACACCUUGGUUUAUUCUGUUUCUGUACUACUACCUCCAAUUCGUCAUUGCUGUUCCUCUGUGGCCUCUGCUAAUGUGUAGCGUGGCCUGAAUGGAGAGGUUUCCUCUGCAGUUCCAGGGAAACGUGGCUGUGUGUACAUGGGCUGUAGCCUUCUCACCAGCAGUGUUUCUUCUUACGUAGUAGAAAAGAGGCCCCACUUCAUUUCCCUCUUCAUCAUCAGUCCGAUUUUAUUAUUAUUACCAGCAAGCAAUGCCAAUACUGUUCAUGUGUCCUUGUCCCAAGCUUUGAUGGAUACAUUCAACACCCAUGUUAACCCCUCUUUAUUCUCAGUAGUACCUUUAUAAUGGGCUUGCCUUUCCAAGCCACAGCUGAUCCUACAAGCUUUCACACCAGCUAAUCCAGCCUCUUUUGGCUUCUUUCCCAAAGGUGCAGAGUUCUAAGGGGAACACUCAGCAAGGAUAUUUUCCGUUGGUAUCAGUGGAUCCAGAAUUUCUUCUUAUCUAGAGGUCUGCUCAUUUUUCUCCAUUGCUAUCAGCAAUGAGAGACAGAUGCUGCUUACAGAACAUAAUUUUUAAGGGAAAUAAGGAAGAAAAUAAAGAAUCUAAACCAAAGGCUGUCUACAUUUUUUAUUUGAAGCUACAAAUCAGGCUAAGCUGUAGUGAUACUUGUUCUGAUGAUUGAAUAAUAGCAUAUUAUGUAAGGAGCAAUAUAUAGUCUUUUCUAAGAGUGCUCUUGCAGUGAAGCAGGAGCUACCACAUAUGUGGAGGGACCAAAGAUUUGGCACCACCAAAGCUGGUGCCUGAAGCAGAGACUAUAUGGACAGCAUCUCGGACAGCAUGCCUCAGAGCAGCAUCAAGAACUCUGGCAGACCACAGCAGAACUUUCCUAGCUCAUUAUGUGCUGAAAAGCAACUGGUUUCUACUCAUUAGACACUAAUCAAGGUCACCCCUUCAUUGCUGAAUGCUCUGCAUUCACGAUGCUGUUGGCAGGAUGGCUUGCUCUGCUCCUGUGUGUUCAGAAAAAAAGAAAAAGGAGAAGAAAUCCUUUGGCCAACCAUCUGUUGGAGCACAGGCCGUGGUCACAGUGCAGAUACAAACGCCUGGAUGCAUUUUGCAGGUGUGCCCUGUGACCCAUCUUUCCAUGGCGGAAUUCGCUGGGAAAAUAGAUUGCACUAGACUGUUUCUGCAACUGCAGUUAAUUGCGUCUUUUCUAUAUUACUGCUACAGGAUUAACACAAACAUUGCUCCUGUUUUCAGGCUUAUCAAAGGCAGCAGCACAUCUCUCUAAUCUCCUAUUUCCCUGAUCUCUGUAAAGUGUUUAAAUGAAUGGAGCACUGAUGAGCAGGGAUGUGGUGCCAGCAGGGAUGGUGUCAUUUAAUGUCUCGCUAUUUAAUGCCUGUGUGACUUUAUGUGUCCUGGGUGACUUGCUGACCAUCUGGCACCCUCCACCCUUUCAGAGGACAGACAGAGGUAUAGACAGCAUCUUCAUUUGUCUCCAGUCCAGAGGAUGACCAGCAGCAAUAACACAGCACAGUUCUGAUGUGCCUGGUCCUGCAGCCCGUACCUGCUGGCACUGAGGGCUGGAGCCUGGAGGCCAUGGUUUGGUGACCCUUGACACCACACAGUUUGGAUCUCGAUGAGCUGUGGGCACACACCUGUAUUUCUAUUGAGCUGGUUGGCACAUGCAGGCUGGAUUUUUCUUCUUUCCAGCUGUAAAACGCGUUACAAUAUCUGCUCUAGCACCUGUUUGUACAC